AAGGUGUGGAUGCGGCAUGGG
rnacentral:miRNA from 1 species